rnacentral:rRNA from 1 species
GAUGAACGCUGGCGGCGUGCCUAAUACAUGCAAGUCGAGCGAACAGACGAGGAGCUUGCUCCUCUGACGUUAGCGGCGGACGGGUGAGUAACACGUGGAUAACCUACCUAUAAGACUGGGAUAACUUCGGGAAACCGGAGCUAAUACCGGAUAAUAUAUUGAACCGCAUGGUUCAAUAGUGAAAUACGGUUUUGCUGUCACUUAUAGAUGGAUCCGCGCCGCAUUAGCUAGUUGGUAAGGUAACGGCUUACCAAGGCAACGAUGCGUAGCCGACCUGAGAGGGUGAUCGGCCACACUGGAACUGAGACACGGUCCAGACUCCUAAGGGAGGCAGCAGUAGGGAAUCUUCCGCAAUGGGCGAAAGCCUGACGGAGCAAAGCCGCGUGAGUGAUGAAGGUCUUCGGAUCGUAAAACUCUGUUAUUAGGGAAGAACAAAUGUGUAAGUAACUAUGCACGUCUUGACGGUACCUAAUCAGAAAGCCACGGCUAACUACGUG